UUCAGCUAGAGCUGGGUCAGGAAUAUUUUUUUCUCAAACACUGACAGAAUGGCUGAAGUGUUCAGAUUUUCCGUGUCAUCACUAAGAUAUCUGUAAGUGUUCCUGUUAUGAUGCAGAAAACCAUUUUUGAGGAUGUUUAAGGAGUAAGUGCAGCACAGCAUACAACCAUAAUCUUCCACAGUGCAAACUGCUUGCUGAACACAUCGAGGGGUGGAAGCAGGAGAGAAGAGAGUCUGAGGAUCCUGUCUUUCUACUUGGUGUUGCUGGUAACACUUUCAGUGUUCAUUAGGAGAACUGACACAAUGAAUCAGAAGCAAAGAGAGAAAACACAGAGAACAUUGACCUGCUGCAGAAAAAGCCCCUAAAACACUCCUGCUCAUCAUGGGAAGUAAUGGAGCAAGACAGCCGCAGCAUGAACUUGCUUGGCCUUCGUAUGAGAGUCAAGACAUAAAUUGGACCAUAAAUUGGCCUCUGUCAGAAUCUACAUCGGAAUGACACCAAAUACAUGUCAUCGGGCUUGUGUUCCAGCUAACAGCAGGAAUCCACUGGUGCUUGUCAUCUUGAUCAAAUGUUCACCUCACUCCCUUUUCCAGCUCAUGC
rnacentral:lncRNA from 1 species